rnacentral:rRNA from 1 species
UUAGUCCGCACGAGCGCAACCCUUAUCAUUAGUUGCUACGCAAGGGCACUCUAAUGAGACUGCCGGUGACAAACCGGAGGAAGUGGGGAUGACGUCAAGUCCUCAUGGCCCUUAUGGGUAGGGCUUCACACGUCAUACAAUGGUCGGUACAGAGGGUUGCCAAGCCGCGAGGCGGAGCCAAUCCCACAAAGCCGAUCGUAGUCCGGAUUGUUCUCUGCAACUCGAGAGCAUGAAGUCGGAAUCGCUAGUAAUCGCAGGUCAGCAUACUGCGGUGAAUACGUUCCCGGGUCUU